rnacentral:rRNA from 1 species
UCCUACGGGAGGCAGCAGUGGGGAAUAUUGCACAAUGGGCGCAAGCCUGAUGCAGCAACGCCGCGUGAGGGACGAAGGCCUUCGGGUUGUAAACCUCUUUUAGUAGGGAAGAAGCGACUGGGUUUUCCUGGGAGUGACGGUACCUGCAGAAAAAGCACCAGCUAACUACGUGCCAGCAGCCGCGGUAAUACGUAGGGUGCAAGCGUUGUCCGGAAUUAUUGGGCGUAAAGAGCUCGUAGGCGGUUUGUCGCGUCUGCUGUGAAAACCCGAGGCUCAACCUCGGGCCUGCAGUGGGUACGGGCAGACUAGAGUGCGGUAGGGGAGAUUGGAAUUCCUGGUGUAGCGGUGGAAUGCGCAGAUAUCAGGAGGAACACCAAUGGCGAAGGCAGAUCUCUGGGCCGUAACUGACGCUGAGGAGCGAAAGCAUGGGGAGCGAACAGGAUUAGAUACCCUGGUAGUCCAUGCCGUAAACGUUGGGAACUAGAUGUGGGGACCAUUCCACGGUCUCCGUGUCGCAGCUAACGCAUUAAGUUCCCCGCCUGGGGAGUACGGCCGCAAGGCUAAAACUCAAAGGAAUUGACGGGGGCCCGCACAAGCGGCGGAGCAUGCGGAUUAAUUCGAUGCAACGCGAAGAACCUUACCAAGGCUUGACAUAUACCGGAAACGGCUGGAAACAGUCGCCCCGCAAGGUCGGUAUACAGGUGGUGCAUGGUUGUCGUCAGCUCGUGUCGUGAGAUGUUGGGUUAAGUCCCGCAACGAGCGCAACCCUCGUCCUAUGUUGCCAGCACGUAAUGGUGGGAACUCAUGAGAUACUGCCUGGGUCAACUCGGAGGAAGGUGGGGAUGACGUCAAAUCAUCAUGCCCCUUAUGUCUUGGGCUUCACGCAUGCUACAAUGGCCGGUACAAAGGGCUGCGAUACCGCAAGGUGGAGCGAAUCCCAAAAAGCCGGUCUCAGUUCGGAUUGAGGUCUGCAACUCGACCUCAUGGAGUCGGAGUCGCUAGUAAUCGCAGAUCAGCAACGCUGCGGUGAAUACGUUCCCGGGCCUUGUACACACCGCC